rnacentral:rRNA from 1 species
GCAGUCGAGCGGUAGCACAGAGAGCUUGCUCUCGGGUGACGAGCGGCGGACGGGUGAGUAAUGUCUGGGAAACUGCCUGAUGGAGGGGGAUAACUACUGGAAACGGUAGCUAAUACCGCAUAACGUCGCAAGACCAAAGUGGGGGACCUUCGGGCCUCAUGCCAUCAGAUGUGCCCAGAUGGGAUUAGCUAGUAGGUGGGGUAAUGGCUCACCUAGGCGACGAUCCCUAGCUGGUCUGAGAGGAUGACCAGCCACACUGGAACUGAGACACGGUCCAGACUCCUACGGGAGGCAGCAGUGGGGAAUAUUGCACAAUGGGCGCAAGCCUGAUGCAGCCAUGCCGCGUGUAUGAAGAAGGCCUUCGGGUUGUAAAGUACUUUCAGCGAGGAGGAAGGCAUUAAGGUUAAUAACCUUGGUGAUUGACGUUACUCGCAGAAGAAGCACCGGCUAACUCCGUGCCAGCAGCCGCGGUAAUACGGAGGGUGCAAGCGUUAAUCGGAAUUACUGGGCGUAAAGCGCACGCAGGCGGUCUGUCAAGUCGGAUGUGAAAUCCCCGGGCUCAACCUGGGAACUGCAUUCGAAACUGGCAGGCUAGAGUCUUGUAGAGGGGGGUAGAAUUCCAGGUGUAGCGGUGAAAUGCGUAGAGAUCUGGAGGAAUACCGGUGGCGAAGGCGGCCCCCUGGACAAAGACUGACGCUCAGGUGCGAAAGCGUGGGGAGCAAACAGGAUUAGAUACCCUGGUAGUCCACGCCGUAAACGAUGUCGACUUGGAGGUUGUGCCCUUGAGGCGUGGCUUCCGGAGCUAACGCGUUAAGUCGACCGCCUGGGGAGUACGGCCGCAAGGUUAAAACUCAAAUGAAUUGACGGGGGCCCGCACAAGCGGUGGAGCAUGUGGUUUAAUUCGAUGCAACGCGAAGAACCUUACCUACUCUUGACAUCCAGAGAACUUAGCAGAGAUGCUUUGGUGCCUUCGGGAACUCUGAGACAGGUGCUGCAUGGCUGUCGUCAGCUCGUGUUGUGAAAUGUUGGGUUAAGUCCCGCAACGAGCGCAACCCUUAUCCUUUGUUGCCAGCGGUUCGGCCGGGAACUCAAAGGAGACUGCCAGUGAUAAACUGGAGGAAGGUGGGGAUGACGUCAAGUCAUCAUGGCCCUUACGAGUAGGGCUACACACGUGCUACAAUGGCAUAUACAAAGAGAAGCGACCUCGCGAGAGCAAGCGGACCUCAUAAAGUAUGUCGUAGUCCGGAUUGGAGUCUGCAACUCGACUCCAUGAAGUCGGAAUCGCUAGUAAUCGUAGAUCAGAAUGCUACGGUGAAUACGUUCCCGGGCCUUGUACACACCGCCCGUCACACCAUGGGAGUGGGUUGCAAAAGAAGUAGGUAGCUUAACCUUCGGGAGGGCG